UGGUAGGGACGAUUAUUGGGCUUAAAGCGUCCGUAGCCGGCUUAGCAAGUCUCCUGUUAAAUUCAGCGACUCAAUCGUUGAGCCGCGGGAGAUACUACUAGGCUAGGAGGCGGGAGAGGUCGACGGUAUUCCCGGGGGAGGGGUGAAAUCCUAUAAUCCCGGGAGGACCACCAGUGGCGAAG
rnacentral:rRNA from 1 species